GCCAGGCGCUGUGGCACGUGCCUGUAGUCCCAGCUACUCAGGAGGCUGAGGCUGGAGGAUCGCUUGAGUCCAGGAGUUCUGGGCUAUAGUGCGCUAUGCUGAUUGGUGUCCACACUAAGUCUGGCAUCAGUGUGGUGACCAACCAGAAGCAGGGCACCACCAGGUUGCCUAAGGAGGGGUGAACCGGCCCAGGUCAGAAACGGAGCAGGUCAAAACUCCUGUGCUGAUCAGUAGUGGGAUCGUGCCUGUGAAUAACCACUGCACUCCAUCCUGGGCAACAUAGCGAGACCCUGUCUCUU
ensembl:misc_RNA Metazoa_SRP Metazoan signal recognition particle RNA